rnacentral:lncRNA from 1 species
GAGGCUUCAAGCAAGCUGUGUUUUUGCAAAGAGUCUUAAGGAAGGCCUUAUAAGAGAGUGUAGAGUUUGAUCUAUCCCUUCUUACGCUUGACGUCUCAUUCAGGCUAGUAUGUCGAGUGAGGGAUUACUCAGACUUCCAGCUUGGUUGCACGAGCAUCUUUAGCUCCUCCCUGUCAAGUGGAGCCCUCGGAACGUCGACUCCACUGGUAAGAGGUGCUGCUUAAGUGAGUUGAGUGGGCCAAGCAGGCUCUCCAUUCACCAUCUCCCUUCAACUAUAUUCUUGGCUUACUAAAGAUGAGGUUCAUCUAGUCAGUCCCUUUGUCAACCACAUGUGUCUAUCUUUUUUAUCACCUCAUCAUUCACAACAUGCUCUGUCAUUAGGUUGUUCUUUUCCUUCAAGAUUUAUGCCAAGGGGACAUGAGCUCUUCAUUAUUGCCUGAGGUAAUAUUGUUCCCACUAUCCAAGGAUUGACAUGGACCAUCACAGAGAGAGGAUAGGAUUUGUUGACUUUGGUCUGUGUGUGUGUGUGGUCGUUCGACAUGCUUUUGGCUACUCGACUACUAGCUGUAGUUGCUUGACAUGCUUUUGUCCACUUGGUGUGCUUCCGUUGGGGCAUUUUUGUGCUUGGGGUCAUGUCGGUUUCCACUAGUCUAUUAAUUUAAGAAAGUAGUCAAGUAGAAAAUUGAUUUGUCUCUCUCCCAACCAAACUACCACAAUGUUUAGGGUCAAACUCAUGUGAACCAAUUGAGAAGAAGUAGAGGAGGGGUUUAGAGGAUUCAGUCACUUAUUGACUGAGUUAGAGGAUUCCUUCUCGACGGAACGGUGAGGGGGAGCUACUGAUCUGUGAGGUUCUGCGGGCCUUGAGGAGAUUGGUGAACUGCUCGGCAUUCUAGCCCCCUACCCCUAGGUUUAUAGUUGAUGCGCUUUGCAUCUUAGAGAAGAAGACA